rnacentral:rRNA from 1 species
AUCGAACCCGGAGAUAGCUGGUUCUCCUCGAAAUAGCUUUAGGGCUAGCCUCAUGGAUCAUUGAUGGGGGUAGAGCACUGAAUGUGCGCGGGGGCCACAAAGCCUACCAAACGCUAUCAAACUACGAAUACCAUACAAUGCAGACCAUGGGAGUCAGUCCGCGAGAGAUAAGUUCCGCGGGCAAAAGGGGAACACCCCAGAUCAACCGCUAAGGUCCCCAAGUUCACGUUAAGUGGAGAAGGAUGUGGAAUUGCACAGACAACCAGGAUGUUGGCUCAGAAGCAGCCACACAUUUAAAGAGUGCGUAAUAGCUCACUGGUCGAGUGAUUGUGCGCCGAAGAUGUCCGGGGCUAAACGUGACACCGAAGCGAUGGGUGCAUCUGAAAGGAUGCGCGGUAGAGGAGCAAUGUGCAGAGGCAGAAGCCGUAUCGAGAGGCACGGUGGACACUGCACAAGAGAGAAUGCCGGUAUGAGUAGCGAGAGGCAUGCGAGAAACAUGCCCGUCGAAAGCCCAAGGUUUCCUGGGGAAGGUUCAUCCGCCCAGGGUAAGUCGGGGCCUAAGCCGAGGACGGAAGUCGUAGGCGAUGGACAGCAGGUGUAGAUUCCUGCACUACCGAUGGAAUGAAGCAGUGACACAGAAGGAUAACUCGAGCAGGGUGAUGGUCAACCCUGUGCAAGCAUCAAGGUUGGGUUGUAGUGAAGUACGCAACCCUACAAGCUGAGGUGUGAUGCGGACCGAAAUUUUAGUAGGGAAGCGAGUGAGUUCACGCUGGCGAGAAAAGCUGCUAGUACAUCCAAAGGUACCCGUACCGGAAACCGACGCAGGUGGGCGAGGAGAGAAUCCUGAGACGAACGGGAGAACCCUUGUUAAGGAACUCGGCAAAAUGACCCCGUAACUUCGGGAUAAGGGGUGCCUGCGAGAGCAGGCCGCAGAGAAUAGUCACAAGCGACUGUUUAGCAAAAACACAGGUAUCUGCGAAAGCGAGAGCUGACGUAUAGGUGCUGACACCUGCCCGGUGCUGGAAGGUUAAGGGAACAUGUUAGAGCAAUCGAAGCAUCGAACCGAAGCCCCAGUAAACGGCGGCCGUAACUAUAACGGUCCUAAGGUAGCGAAAUUCCUUGUCGGGUAAGUUCCGACCCGCACGAAUGGUGUAACGACUUGUGAGCUGUCUCAACAGGGGGCCCGGUGAAAUUGAAGUAUGGGUGAAGAUGCCCAUUACCCGCGACUGGACGGAGAGACCCCGUAGAGCUUUACUGCAGCCUGAUAUUGAGUUUCGGUAACUGAUGCACAGGAUAGGUGGGAGUCUGAGAGACACGGGUUUCGGCUCGUGUGGAGACGCUGUUGGGAUACCACUCUUCGGUUACUGAAAUUCUAACAUAGCUCUGUGAAACCAGAGGAUGGACAGUGUCAGGUGGACAGUUUGACUGGGGCGGUCGCCUCCGAAAGAGUAACGGAGGCGCCCAAAGGUACCCUCAGAAUGGAUGGAAACCAUUCGAAGAGCGCAAAGGCAGAAGGGUGCCUGACUGCGAGAUUGACAAAUCGAGCAGAGACGAAAGUCGGGCUUAGUGAUCCGGCGGUAUUGAGUGGAAAAGCCGUCGCUUAACGGAUAAAAGCUACCUCGGGGAUAACAGGCUGAUCUCCCCCAAGAGUCCACAUCGACGGGGAGGUUUGGCACCUCGAUGUCGGCUCGUCGCAUCCUGGGGCUGAAGCAGGUCCCAAGGGUUUGGCUGUUCGCCAAUUAAAGCGGCACGCGAGCUGGGUUCAGAACGUCGUGAGACAGUUCGGUCCCUAUCCAUCGUGGGCGUAGGAGUCAUGAGAGGAGCUGUUCCUAGUACGAGAGGACCGGAAUGGACGCACCACUGGUGCAACUGUUGUCGUGCCAACGGCAUAGCAGGGAAGCGAAGUGCGGAUGGGAUAAACGCUGAAGGCAUCUAAGCGUGAAGCCCACCUCAAGAAUAAGACUCCACAAUAGACCCCUGGAGGACUACCAGGUAGAUAGGUCAUCGGUGGAAGCGCUGUAAGGCGUGUAGCUUGAUGAUACUAAUCGGUCGAAAGCUUCAUUUA